rnacentral:rRNA from 1 species
UACGUAGGGGGCGAGCGUUAUCCGGAAUUACUGGGCGUAAAGCGCACGCAGGCGGUUCGCCAAGUUUGGAGUGACAGUUGUCGGCUCAACCGACAAAGGACUUCAAAAACUGGUGAACUUGAGGACGAGAGAGGAACAUGGAACUCCAGGUGUAGUAGUGAAAUGCGUAGAUAUCUGGAAGAACACCAAUGGCGAAGGCAAUGGUUCUGGCUCGUUUCGUGACGCUCAGGUGGCGAAAGCCAGGGGAG